rnacentral:rRNA from 1 species
AUAAGGGCGCACGGUGGAUGCCUUGGCACUAGGAGCCGAUGAAGGACGGGACUAACACCGAUAUGCUUUGGGGAGCUGUACGUAAGCUAUGAUCCAGAGAUUUCCGAAUGGGGGAACCCAGCAUCUUUAAUAGGAUGUUACGAUUGUGUGAAUACAUAGCACAUUCGAGGUAGACGCAGAGAACUGAAACAUCUAAGUACCUGCAGGAAGAGAAAGAAAAUUCGAUUCCCUGAGUAGCGGCGAGCGAAACGGGAAAAGCCCAAACCAACAAGCUUGCUUGUUGGGGUUGUAGGACUCCAAUAUGGUCGUUCUUUCAGAUAGUCGAAUGACUUGGAAAAGUCAGUCAAAGAGGGUAAAAACCCCGUAGACGAAAUGUGGAAGACACCUAGGAGGAUCCUGAGUACGGCGGAACACGAGAAAUUCCGUCGGAAUCCGGGAGGACCAUCUCCCAAGGCUAAAUACUCCCUAGUGACCGAUAGUGAACCAGUACCGUGAGGGAAAGGUGAAAAGCACCCCGGAAGGGGAGUGAAAUAGAACCUGAAACCGUGUGCCUACAACAAGUCAAAGCCCGUUAAUGGGUGAUGGCGUGCCUUUUGUAGAAUGAACCGGCGAGUUACGAUUGCAUGCGAGGUUAAGUUGAAGAGACGGAGCCGCAGCGAAAGCGAGUCUGAAUAGGGCGUUUGAGUAUGUAGUCGUAGACCCGAAACCAUGUGAUCUACCCAUGUCCAGGUUGAAGGUGCGGUAAAACGCACUGGAGGACCGAACCCACGUACGUUGAAAAGUGCGGGGAUGAGGUGUGGGUAGCGGAGAAAUUCCAAACGAACUUGGAGAUAGCUGGUUCUCUCCGAAAUAGCUUUAGGGCUAGCCUCGGAAUUGAGAAUGAUGGAGGUAGAGCACUGUUUGGACUAGGGGCCCAUCUCGGGUUACCGAAUUCAGAU